rnacentral:rRNA from 1 species
ACGGAAGGCAGCAGUGGGGAAUAUUGGGCAAUGGGCGAAAGCCUGACCCAGCGACGCCGCGUGAAGGAAGACGAUCUUCGGAUUGUAAACUUCUUUUAUAGGGGACGAUAAUGACGGUACCCUAUGAAUAAGCCACGGCUAACUACGUGCCAGCAGCCGCGGUAAUACGUAGGUGGCAAGCGUUAUCCGGAUUUACUGGGUGUAAAGGGUGUGUAGGCGGGACUGCAAGUCAGAUGUGAAAACUAUGGGCUCAACUCAUAGCCUGCAUUUGAAACUGUAGUUCUUGAGGGUCGGAGAGGUAACCGGAAUUCCUGGUGUAGCGGUGAAAUGCGUAGAUAUCAGGAGGAACACCGGUGGCGAAGGCGGGUUACUGGACGAUUACUGACGCUGAGACACGAAAGCGUGGGGAGCAAACAGGAUUAGAUACCCUGGUA